CAAGAGCCCGGAGGCGGUAUCUGAGACAAGAUACCGGGCCCUACGGGGCGCAGCAGGCGCGAAACCUUUACACUGCACGCCAGUGCGAUAAGGGGUACCCAAGUGCGAGGGCAUAUAGUCCUCGCUUUUCUGGACCGUAAGGUGGUCCAGGAAUAAGUGCUGGGCAAGACCCGGUCCAGCCGCCGCGGUAAUACCGGCAGCACGAGUGAUGGCCGCUCUUAUUGGGCCUAAAGCGUCCGUAGCUGGCCGAUCAAGUCCGUCGGGAAAUCUCCACGCCCAACGUGCGGGCGUCCGGUGGAAACUGAUCGGCUUGGGACCGGAAGACCAGAGGGGUACGUCCGGGGUAGGAGUGAAAUCCCGUAAUCCUGGACGGACCACCGGUGGCGAAAGCGCCUCUGGAAGACGGAUCCGACGGUGAGGGACGAAAGCUCGGGUCACGAACCGGAUUAGAUACCCGGGUAGUCCGAGCUGUAAACGAUGUCUGCUAGGUGUGACACAGGCUACGAGCCUGUGUUGUGCCGUAGGGAAGCCGUGAAGCAGACCGCCUGGGAAGUACGUCCGCAAGGAUGAAACUUAAAGGAAUUGGCGGGGGAGCACUACAACCGGAGGAGCCUGCGGUUUAAUUGGACUCAACGCCGGACAUCUCACCAGCAUCGACAGUAGCAAUGAAGGUCAGCCUGAUGAGCUUAC
rnacentral:rRNA from 1 species